rnacentral:tRNA from 1 species
CGCGGAGUGGAGCAGUUGGUAGCUCGUUGGGCUCAUAACCCAAAGGUCACAAGUUCGAAUCUUGUCUCCGCAA